GAUGAACGCUGGCGGCGUGCCUAAUACAUGCAAGUCGAGCGAACAGACGAGGAGCUUGCUCCUCUGACGUUAGCGGCGGACGGGUGAGUAACACGUGGAUAACCUACCUAUAAGACUGGGAUAACUUCGGGAAACCGGAGCUAAGACCGGAUAAUAUAUUGAACCGCAUGGUUCAAUAGUGAAAGACGGUUUUGCUGUCACUUAUAGAUGGAUCCGCGCCGCAUUAGCUAGUUGGUAAGGUAACGGCUUACCAAGGCAACGAUGCGUAGCCGACCUGAGAGGGUGAUCCGCCACACUGGAACUGAGACACGGUCCAGACUCCUACGGGAGGCAGCAGUAGGGAAUCUUCCGCAAUGGGCGAAAGCCUGACGGAGCAACGCCGCGUGAGUGAUGAAGGUCUUCGGAUCGUAAAACUCUGUUAUUAGGGAAGAACAAAUGUGUAAGUAACUAUGCACGUCUUGACGGUACCUAAUCAGAAAGCCACGGCUAACUACGUG
rnacentral:rRNA from 1 species